rnacentral:snoRNA from 1 species
GGUCUCCUUGUGUGUCCACAGGCUGCAUCCUCAAACUGUAGAGAAAAAGGAGGCAAAGCAAAUGUACCUGCAUCCCUUUCAAUCUCCCAGGCCCUGGGCCUGGUCUGUACCCUGAACCGGUGACUUGG